rnacentral:lncRNA from 1 species
ACUGCACGUCGCAGAGCCACCGGUUCGUCGGCGCCUGCAUGAGCAAGAGCAACUGCGAGAACGUCUGCAGGACGGAGGGCUUCCCGUGGGGCGAGUGCAGGUGGCACGGCAUAGAGCGCAAGUGCCACUGCAAGCGGAUCUGCUAGUAAUUAACUAGCCGGCUGGCCAGCGCAUGCAUGCACGACGACCGACCUACCUGCUGCUGGUCCGUUUGCGUUUGUUUCUUGUCCUUUGGGCCUUGCUGUGGCGCGCAGUCUUGCGUACGUGCGUGUGCGUGUGUCUUUUCAGUUACUCUCAAUUAGUCAUAGCAGACGUGCGUGGGUGCGAGCGUGUGUCUCGUUGCAUUGAUGAACCGGCUUCACGUGCUGUGGUUUUACAGUUUCUGAUGUGUUUUAGCUAAUCUCGAAUAAUAAAUAAUAAGGCCCCGUCUUCACGCAGUUGCGUACUGGGUGCUUACGUACAUUGUGGUUGUUACUUUCGUCACGCAGUUGAGUGGAUGUAUUAGUCAAAAAGGCCGGAAUACUGGUUGGUUGAUUGUGGAAUGCAAUAACCCUUCGAAAACAUCAGCUGGUUGUGGAUGGGUCAAUGCACAGAGAGUAAAUGUCAGGGAAUAACUACUGCAGACGACCACGAAUAAACCGAUCUGCAUGGUGCAUUUUUUUUUUUUUUGCAUCUGCUUAUUAUUCAGGCUGCGUCCCCUCUACAUCCAGCCAAACAAACUUCUUUCUUACACAAUCCUUCUGUUUAGUUGCUGUACACCGGUAGCCUGGAUCAUACAUGAGCAGUGCACAUGCUAGAUCUGUACAUAGCCUUUUAUUUGGUUGUUUAUAUUAGUACAUUCAGAUCAGAUACAACUCGUAUUUGGUUAUAUGUAUUACAACGUGUACUUAGAGAAGAGUGCACAAAUAAAUCUUCAAAUAUUAUAUAACAUGUGUGGUCUAGUUUUGUUCGUACAAAUAUCAGAAACACAAAUAUAAAAUCGGUUCCGUGAUUAUAUCUUUUAAUUAUAAAAUAUAAAAAAGAAAUAAAAAAUGCAAUCUCGAAGUAUAUGCACCUACCUUACUUUCGGCCAUAGCUGCUCAGCUCUCUAUAUUCAUACUCUAUAUCUCUAUAUUUGUGCAUCUUUUUUUGUUGUAGGAAGCAAAUAAUGUAUAAAAUAAUCUAUACAAAUUUUUAUUCUUAUUUGUAAUAAUACGUUCGAUAACUAAGAAAAAAAAUCAAAUCAAAUUUUAUCUAUAUCUAUUUUAAAAUAUUAAAUUUGUCAUAAUAACAAUUUAGAUACUCACUUUUAUCACUAGGUAAAUGUUCUGAGUCUCACAGAGAUGGACGUCUCUCAUGUCACAACUCAGAAGAAUAUACUAUAUCAUGAUUUAUAGUUGGGCCGGGUUCAGUAGUGUUUCGUGUGCUAAAUCACAGUUCCUUAUAGGAGGAAGAACGGGCUCAAUUUUGUCAGAAAGCGAGCUGAUUCAAGGCCCAUGUCUUUCUUUUCCAUGGUUCUGAACAUGUCACGCCACCACCACUCCACCAGCUUUCUGCGCGAAUGACACGUUUUAUACGGCUUCUCUGAAAAGUAUUUCCCUGGAAAGCUAUAUAGAUAGAGAGAAAAUUUGUCAUGGAUAAGCUAGUUUAACUUUUUUUUGCAUUUUAAUAAAAAUAGGCUAUGAAGAGAAGGACAGCCGUAAAAAGGUGUCGAAAAUGGAUUAUUUAGCUUUUAGUUUCAACUUAUUUUAGCUAUAAAAACUUAUAUUAUGCACUAAACAGACUCUAUAAUCUUGGGGACGAAGAAAUGAAUUGAACACUGGGGACAUGGAACGAGGAGGCAGUCAUGUAGGAGAGGGUAGAGGCGGUUCACGUAUAGAUACACUUAUUUAUAAAAAAAAACAUAAUUUUUAUUAUAAUUAAAAUAUAUUGGUCAUUUGUUUUCAAUUGCUAUAUACAGUCAAAAACAAGGUAACACGGUAUUAAAGAGAUGAUCAGCAUUCGUCCUCAAAUAGUUAUCCUUUCGGAAUAAUUCUUUCGAAGACGAAGGUUGAGACUUAACCGAGUAAAUCAUGACUUAACUAUGUAAAUAAGUAUGUAAAAGAAUGUGAAGAAGUUAAACAUAAUAAUCCAUCUCAGAUAUUUCAAUACCAUGUUUCUUUCCUCUCAUAUGAUAAAUUUAUAAUCGUACCUUCAGCUUUACAGAGUAAGAACGAAUGUGUUCAAGGGAAAAAAUUACACAUGGUAAUUAUCCAGCACACCAAAAGGUUCUUUAUGCAGGGCACUGUUCAUCUAUUUAUAGGGUACCAUACAACUUCGUAUGAAAUUACAUUUAUAUCCACAAGAAUUGUGCAUAGGAUUUAUAAAUAAUACAAGGGCAACAAUGUCUUUUGCUCUCGACGACACAUUCUCCUUUCGCCGUCUCCUUGUGUUGUCAUAACGAAACUAGCUUCUUCACUCAUUUCUCAUUCUGCAUCAAAGGUGUUCUGUUGCCGAAGCUCUUGCAAUACUUGGCAACAUGUUGAUAAUCAAUAAUUAAACGUGUUUUUGAUGACCUUCGACAGACGAAGGCCCCCAACAAAAUAUAAUACAUAUUCAAAUAUAUAAUAAAAUUUAUAUAUCUAGAAAAGAUAAAACACCUUAUAUUUUAAAAUAGAGAAUUUAGAAAAGCAGACAACAUGAACUCACUCAUCCUCGUACCUACUUCAUCAGCAGGUCGGAUUUCGAUAUUGAGAACGUUUGUGUACCGCUGAAUUAAUAACAUCGUUUUUUAAUAAAUUUUGACCAAUAACUUUUUCACUAUAUUUUUACUACGGCAAAUCAUGCUAGCAUUCCCGAUGUGCUUGUUCGCUUGGUCUAUGCUGAGUAAAUAAACAAUGUUUAAAUUUAAACUAAAACAAAGAUGAUGACGAUCUUAGAUACUAGUAUGAACAAUGUUCAUAUAAUAGUUAGAUGAAAAAAUAACAAUAAAAAUAUUAGUAUGAGCAGGACUCACAUACUAUUUAGAUUAAACGAUAUGAACAAUGACAUGACGGAUGUACUAUUAGAUUGGAUCAUAUGGUGUGUAUCUUUGUUUUGCAGAGGAAGACGUUAUUGCUAGCAGUGGCACGAACUCAUGGACGAGCAAUAGAGGUCAGAGCAGCUAACGAUAGAUAUGUGGAGACGUAACGCUAUCCCUAGGUCAGAGCACCUAACGAUAAAUAUGUUGAGACGUAAGGCUAUCCCAUCAACUCCUCUAUGACAUCCUCUAUUUCAAACUUCACUCUGUAAACAGUGUCAUCUAUAAUACACAUCUUCUAUUUUACACGGUCCACCUUUGAUAGAAGAUGUCUCGUCGUGAAAGUCAGGAGUAGUUAUGCAAAGAGCAUUUUCUAAAAAAACAUAUUUGUCCUCUCCUAAAGUGCAAAUCUCCUAUCUUAUUCAUUUUUUUUGAAAAAUGAAGAAAAAUCAAUGCCAUAUUUAAAAGUAUAUUAUAUGAUAAACGAUAUUAUAGUAAAAGUUAAUAAUAAUAAUUAUUAUUUUUAAAAACUGAGAUGUUCAAACAAACUUUAGAUUAAAAAUCAAACAAAUUAUGAAUUGAAAUGGAGGAAGUUCCUCAUAUAACUAACUAGUUUAUUAACAAACCAAAAUACCUUAUUAAGAAACAUAUGCAUUACUCUUAGAUGGUGUUUGGUUCAAUGCAUUACACUUAGGUGGUGUUUGGUUCACCGAAAUGUAACACAAACGGAUUACAAGGGUAAUGAGACCGAUACUAUUGUUUGGUUGACCUCUUUCCAGUAGUACCAGGUACUACUAUGCAAUCUAAUUACAUCAAGUAACCAUUACCGCCGGCAAGGGAUCCCGUUACCAUUUCGGUAACAACACGUGAAUCGAAACAACACCUUAGAGCAUCUCCAACGGUUCUCAAUGGACACUCUCAAAACAAUAAUUUAGAGGCAAAGGUAAAAAGCACAGUCCAACAACUCCUAAUAUGUGCUCUAAAUUUAUUCGGUGCCUCAAAACCAGAGCCUCGUGGUACAGAUUUAGAGUCGAGCCAGCGCCAACCCUAUGAUUGAUUUUGUAUUGGGACAUUUUUAAGGAGCUGUUGGAGUUGGAUAUGUUUUUUGGGGGCAUUUAGACUUUUGGGAUGAGCCCAAUAUAUAGACAUUAGACAUUGGAUAAUGGGUAUAGAUUAUUAGGUGUUGGUGAUGCUCUUAGGUGUUGUUUGGUUCACGAAAUUUAACCUAAAUGGCAGCGACAAUGAUUCACACUUUAGUACCAGCAGUAAUAAGUUUGAAUAAGCCGAUAUCAAUUUCUAGUGUGGUAUAUAACUACAGUUAGACUUAAACAAACAUGAUUUAACAUUAUCAGUUAAACAUCACGUUACAGAUAUAUGAACCAAACAACACCUUAGAAGCUGUUUGAUUCACAUAAUUGUAACAUGAUGGAUAAUAGAUAACGUUAAAACAUGUUUGUUUAAGUCCAACGUAAUUAGAUACUACACUAAAAAUAGAUACUUGACUAUUCAAACUUGUUAUCACUGUCACUUGAGUGCGAAUCGUUAUCAUUGUCAUUUACGUUACAGUUCCUGAAACAAAUGACACUUUAGUUUUAGUCCGCUACUUUUAUAUCACUCUCACUCUCAGUUAUAGGCUUCACCCGUAUAUUUUAUUCUUUUCAUCCAAAUAGGAACACGCACAGUUUUUGGUGCCAAUAUAUGUUUUUUUGUCUAAUAAUGACGAGUCCGCUUUAACAAGGAGUCAACCGAAGGCACCGUUAAACCAGGGGGCUCAAAGAAGAUCUCGCUAUGACGAGUCCGCUUUAACAAGUCGAACAUAGGCAGGGCCCACCUGCAGCAGCAUAGAGUCCGAACUCGAUCCUUGGCCCGCCCACGCCUAUAUAAGGGACACCAGCGGACAUGGACGGCUACGCACGCAGAGCGAACCCACGGCCACGGGGGGUCUGUAAAAUCCGUAGGCGAUUGAGCGAGCAAAAGAAUCUGCCCUCUCCCCUUCCCUUUCUACAGGCGCUGUCCCGCAAGCGGCGCAUCGCAGGAGGCGGUGAACUGGUGGCGAGGCGAGAGGUACACAGACACCCGGGCCCUGCCCUGUUCCGUUCCUCUUGCAGUCUUGCUUUAUUUUCUUGUCCCCCUCUCUCUCUCUCUGGCUUAGCUUAGCGCGGCAGUACUAGCCUUUGCUUCAGUUUGGAUCUUUCGGUAAUAAAAUUGCGGCGGCAAUCACAGCUGCGGGGGAAAAUAAAAUUGGGUGAUAAACGCGGGCACCCAUUACGUAUCCAUAUAUAUACUCAUGCCAUGUGUCUGUACACAAUCAUCAUCUAAUCUAACGGCGGACUCGUCGGUGAACUGCUGCUGUAUGGAUUAAAAGGGUUGAAACUUGAGCGGAGCCCGCAUGAUGGGAAAUCGUUAGGGUAAUAAUAAGGGCCACCGCCCGUAACCGUAACAGUAAAGUAAAGGCAGGGUAGGAGGAGUAGAGCAAGGCACUGUUUGUUUUCUGGAGGGGAUGUUAAACUAUCGAGCUGCUGCUUCGGAUGCAUCGGCCGGGGUUUCGAGUAAAUUGGAGAAAGAAGCGACUUUUUUCUCCCUUUCAGUCUGGGGGUUCGAGCUUCUCGCCGCUGUGAAGACACAAGGGUGGUUAUCUCAUCUUAUCGCCGUCGUUGGCUAAAUUCCCUUCACAUCUACAGUGUUUUCUUGUCUGGGGGGUGAGACGAGGGAUCGUCGGAUUUGAGUUGAGUCGGAGCUCACUGGGAUUGGGAUUGGUAAUGCAGGGGAUCUGGUAUCGCUCCGUCUUCUGCUGGGAGCGGUUCGUUCGGAUCGCAUGCGCCUCUGGUGUUGAUCGGCAUGACCUUUGAGAACUUUAUUUUGCCUUCCGCCGUUCCUCUCGUCCUGCUCCGGUUGCCUGUUGGUUUAUUCCCUAGGCGACGGAAUGCUGCACCUUCUUCGGGUUUGCUUUCCUGUUCGGAAGAAACCCCAAAGCUCCCUUCACUUCUUGGGUUGAAACGGAGGGCCCCAGACGGAUGCCUUCGCUCUAGAAAUAAAUAAAUAAAUAUAUCCCGGACAGAGAAGUACACCUGCUCUUAUUAGUUUCCUCCUCGGAUCAACUAACGGGUUUCGUUUUGCCUCUGCAAGUUGAUGGAUGAGAGGAGAGACACCUGUCCCUCCCCUCUUUCCCUUGUCCGGUCCGGUUCCUCAUGUGCCCCCAUUCCUAACCCAAUCACCCUUCAGUUCAGUCAAGUCUUCAUAGGUGUGAUUUGUGAAAUCCAUCUGAGAAGUCCAUGUCCAUCUGAAAACUCUAUGAGCUGUUCCGGAAGCUGUUUCAGUCAGCUGUUGUCACAAUGUACUAUGUGUGCCCCCACUUCUUUCCAAACUGGAACAGGAGAGCAGCCCAGGAAAAUGGAAUUAAAAUGCAAAGUAGGGCCCCCCCACACGGCCACACCAAUGGGCAUGCAUCGAUCUAGAAUUUUCUUGGAAGGCACUUGGAGGCGGACAGGAGAGGAAAACAAAGCUUGACUGGUUGACUUGAUCAUUUAUAUGCCGUUGAGCCAAAUUUGAGGUCAAAACAGAGGCAUACAUAACUAGGUUUCUCGGGUUCAAGAAGACAAUUUUACACUAAAAAAAGCCGAAAUCUUUGACAACUUUCUCUUGAGAAAACAGGUCCUAUCUGCGACAUGGGAUAUCUAUCUAGUGUCAAGGCAUUGUUUGUUUCUCCAUGUGCGUCGUAGCACAGCUGCAAACAGAACUACCCGUCUGGUUGUUUAGUUAGUUAGCUUCACGCUGGAAUUUAUCCCAGAAGCAUCUAAGUAUGGCGUGACAUUUGCGAGUUUAACUUAAUCAGGACAGCGAGUUUUAAGUAUUAUUCUUUAUUUUGUUGGCAAAAGGAAGCGGUGCAGUUGAAAUCCGCUGGAUAAUGCUUUCGAAGAGGGUUCUCUAUAAUGCGAAGGCUUGGAUGCUGAUAUCUCUGUUGUAGUUUAUGGGUUUGUGAGAUGACUCCUUUCUUCCCUACUAAGUUCAUGGCCUUUCUGAAAGUCUGGAUUCUUAUGGUUGCAAAGUUCUAGUAUGUGGAUUGCCUUCUUUCCACGUCUGAGCAGUUUCCUUCUUCCUUUUUUUUUCGCUAGGCACUGAGCAGUUUCUUAGGGUUUAAGCGAUUGCCUUCUUUCCUGACCUACAAGCCCAGGCAACAACGAAGCCGUUACCCAAACGUCUCCUUCUGUUCAUCCGAGUGCCAAUCUGCUGCCUUCUCAUUGACCACUCGACCCCUUCCCUUCAUACGUGGCUUCUUCUUCUUUUUUGCCUCGAGCUACCACUUGGUGACGAUACCUGUCGCGUCUAAACACGGUCCAAUUAGAAUCGAUUUUCUUUCACUCUGCUUCCUUGGCUGUUGCCUCACCCUAUAAUUACGUGUCGCACAGGUCUCGAUCUUCCCGGCCCCACACACAACAAAGCGGGGCGAUGGACCAGCACGACCACGAGAUGGAGCAGAAGGGGUGCCUCUGCCGGAUCAAGAACUGCGCCAUUGAACUCUUGUCGAUGGAGGAGGACCUGGAGACGGACGACGAGGAGUCGUGGGACCUCGUUGGGAGGGACCUCCGGCUCAAGGCCACCUUCCUGUGCAUCGACCUCAGCCGCUUGAUCGCCUUCUGCCAGGGCGAAGAGCACAAGAAGGCGCUCACUGUCGUCGCCAACAAGUUCUUCUACUCCAUGGAUGAGGUGAGUGAGGAAUCCUCCACACGCCCUUCCACCUCUUUUUUUUUCGCACAGCAUGUCUUGGCCCAUUGCAUCAAGUCUUUUUUGUUUUUGUUUUUUUUAGAAUGUGCAUCAAGUCCUCUUUUGGAACGCAGCUACGUACUGCCACUCCACGUCAAAAUUAGUUUUUGUUUUUACAUGCGUAGUAAACUUAUAUAUUAAAAUCAACGUUUGAUGAGACCUCUACACAUGCAUAGUAAUCUUUAUGACUGCGACACGUAGGCAAUUAGUUUGUUGAUACUGCUUGAUGCCUUUUUUCUGAUUAAUAACAAGACGCGCUUGCACGAAUGGCAGCUUGGCGACGCAGUGGAGAGCAGAAGCCUCCCGCUGACGCAGGUGCGCUACGGCGACACCGCCGACGCGCUCCGCGAGGUGGUCGCCGUCCUCGGGCCGUCCCUGUAGCUGGGCGGCCUGCACGAAGCGGAGGAAUAGAGAAAUCCAGAUGAGAUCACAGAUGCGUCCCCCACCCCAGCACAUCUUAUUAUAGGAUAGGAUUAGGAUAUAGACAGACAAGACAGUACGGUGAGGCGGGAAGGAUGAUGAGCCAGCGCGGCAGAAAUGCUGUGUGCGAUCAUCUUCACCUGUGUGGCUGUGUAUACAUGUCUCAAAUUUCUGUUGCCGUCUUGCUCGCUCCUUUGCGUUUCGCGUGCGCGCCGAUGCUCUGCCGCUCUCGCUCGGGGUCCUGUAAUGCUGCAUGCAGUGAUCUACACUACACAGGCAGAUCUAGGACGUGAGCUUUGAUGCGCAGAUCUAAGAUGUAGUUCCGGUGUCGACGAAGCGCCAUAACACCACGUAAACGUGACUGUAGAACGGGAACACGAUCGCAUUAGAUGCGUCCCGUGAAAGCAACGUGUAGUGACUGUCCCAUCCAGGGCCGUUCGCCCGUUCCUGACUUUUCAGGGAUCCAGUGCGAAAUUCGAUAUAGAGAUUCCGUCCACACACAAAUAUAUAUAACUAUACAUAUAUUACCGAAUAUUUGACGUAUAAAAAUUACUAUGCACUAUUUUAAAGUUUAUAAGAUAACAUAUAUAAAAUAUAGCAAAAAACACUUGUUAUAUGAUAUUAUUAAAAAUAUCUUCUAACAUUUUGUGAUACUAAGUCAUCGCUUAUAUCAUCGAGAUCAAGCUCAUCCAACAACUUUUUUUUUCGAUAUAUAGAAUCGUCAAGCUAUUUAACCUCUCUUGAGUUAUUGUUGACCAUAAAUAGUUCAUAAAAAAAAUUUAAUUUUAAAAAGCUUCUCUCUACCGAAGCAACCAUCAUAUGUAUAGUUUAUAAUAUACUCUCUCUAUAUCAAAAUAAAAUUUGUUCUGCUUCUUUAGUGGAUUUAUCAUCAUCAAUAUAAACAUAAAAAUUAAGAGCUAAACCAAAUACUAUUUUAAAACGGAUGGAGUAUUCGAUAAGUAAUUGAGACAUUAGUUUAAUAAUAUAAACGAGACUAGUCAAUAACUCGGUAGCGUAUCAUUUUUUUUUGCAUAUUUGUGUCUAGAAUAGAUAGGUUUAAUAAAAAAAUGCUAACGUUCAGUGGCUAGGGGGCCCGAUGCGGCCGCACCCACCGCACCCCCUCAGGGUCGGCCCUGGUCCCAUCUCGCCUACCGAUGUAAGACUGAGUAUCUAUCAGCAUAGUAUUGUUUCCGUAAUCGAAAAUCUCGGCCUCGUAACCAUUAUAAAAAAAUUCCGUAAAUGAGGUCCGUAAUCGAAAAUCUCGUAAUUGAGACAUUGUAACUGUAUCGUUUUCGAAAAUUAUCGCAUUUAAAGUUUUAAUUUUAAAUAUCUAUCAAUAUCGUAUUGCAGUCGUUAAUAAGUAGAUUAAUUAUAAAACCGGAUAAAUUUUGCAUAGAUUAAUUAUAAAACCAGAUAAAUUUUGCAGUCGUUAAUAAGUAGAUUAAUUAUAAAACCGGAUAAAUUUUCGUGAUUGAUGGACACCAUUUUCGUAUAGACGAUUUCGUUUUCGAUCGUUUUCAUCCCUAAGCCUGACCUAGGCUGGCAAGUGUAGAUCCUUUUUGACACAACUUCUUCGUAGUUUUAAGCAUAAACUCUAUCAAAUAGGAUGUUUAUGCAAUAACUUAUCAAUUUAACCGCUUCAUAAAAUGAACUAAUAAUAUAUAACAAAUAGAAGCUAUUUUCACUACUUUUUUAGAUAAGCUACAUUUUUAAGAAGCAAUAUCAUUUGUGCCAAACAUGGUAAUAGUACAACUGAAAGGGAAAUGUGCCCUUGGGCCAUUUCUAAGUAUUUUGGUGAUUAAGUGCCAACACAAAUGGUCUAAGUGUUAAACUGUGUCAAAUGGUGAAUGAAGUGCAAAUCAACACAAAGGUAUGAUUCUAGACUUAGUACAUUGUUUUUUGUGUACUAACAUAUUUGUCUAAGUGCUAGAAUCAGAGAAAAGACAAAAGGAAAAAGGACUUGGCUGUGCAGCCAAGACUCUACGCAGUCUGGGUGCACCGGACAGUGUCCGGUGCGCCAGGCUGGCUUUGGUCAAAAUGGCCGCUCUCGGGAUUUCGUCGGCGGCGUACGGCUAAAAAUCACCGGACUGUCCGGUCAGCCAACGGUCGGCCGCGCAAUCCGCGCGUGACGCGUGGCCGAGCCAACGGUCUGAUGGGGGCACCGGACUGUCCGGUGUGCACCGGACAAUGUUCGGUGCGCUAACGGCUCCAAAUCUUCAACGGUCGGCUGCGCCAAAUUAGGAAAGCAAUCUGCACCGGAUAGUGAACAGUGUCUAUCCGGUGGCACACCGGACUGUCCGGUGCGCCACCCGACAGAAGGCAAGAAUUGCCUUCCUAGAUUGCUCUCAACGGCUCCUAACUGCCUUGGGGCUAUAAAAGGAAACCCUAGGCGCAUGGAGGAGUACACAAAACAUACUUUGAGCAUUCUUAAUCAUUCACACUCCGUCUUUGCACACUCGAUUGACAUUCUUAGUGAUUUGAGCUCCGUUCUAGUGGUGAACUUUGUGCUAGUCAUUUGAGCUCAAGUCUUGGCUGUGUGUUUGCGUAUUGCUGUGGAUUUGUGUGUGUUGCUUCCCUCCCUUACUCUAGUGCUUUUACUUUGAUCCUUAUUGUAAGGGCGAGAGACUCCAAGUUGUGGAGAUUCCUCGCAAAUGGGAAAGAGUAAAGAAAGAAGAAAACCGUGGUAUUCAAGUUGAUCAUUGGAUCACUUGAGAGGAGUUGAGUGCAACUCUCGUCCGUUGGGACGCCACAACGUGGAGUAGGCAAGUGUUAUACUUGGCCGAACCACGAGAUAAAUCAUCGUGUCUCUUGUGCUUGUUCUCACUGCAACUAUUGUGUUUCGCAAGAGCUCAGUCCUUAGCCACUUGAUUCCAUUGUACUAAUACUUAACCAAGUUUUGUGGUUAUAAGUUUUAAGUUUUUACAGGAUCACCUAUUCACCCCCUCUAGGUGCUCUCAAUUGGUAUCGGAGCCGUUCUCUUCACGAAAGGGACUAAUCGCCCGAAGAGAUGGAUCCUAAGGGAAAGGGGAUGGUGAUCAACGACAAGGAGAAGGAGUCCUUCAUCAAUGAGCCAAAAGACGACAAGCCCACUGACUCAGGCUCAAGUCAUAAGAAGAAGGAUGGAAAGAAGAAGAGGCGCAUCAAGAAGAUUGUCUACUACGACAGCGACGAAUCUUCCUCUUCUCAAAAGGAUGACGAAUACGAGGAGAAAAAGAAAACGGUUAACUCGAACUUUUCUUUCGAUUAUUCUCGUAUUCCGCAAAAUUCCAAUGCUCAUUUGCUUUCCAUUCCUCUUGGUAAACCCCCACACUUUGAUGGAGAGGACUACGGAUUUUGGAGUCACAAAAUGUGUAGCCAUUUGUUCUCUCUUCAUCCAAGUAUAUGGGAGAUAGUAGAAAAUGGAAUGCAAUUCGAUAGUUCGGAUAAUUCUAUGUUUAUCAAUGAACAAAUCCAUAAAAAUGCACAAGCUACUACUGUUCUUUUAGCAUCCUUGUGCAGGGAAGAAUACCAUAAGGUGAGCGGCUUGGAUAACGCCAAGCAGAUCUGGGACACCCUCAAGAUCUCCCAUGAGGGGAACGACACCACCAUGCUCACCAAGAUGGAGUUGGUGGAAGGCGAACUAGGAAGGUUCGCGAUGAUCAGGGGAGAGGAGCCAACUCAAACGUACAAUAGGCUCAAGACCCUGGUCAACAAGAUAAGGAGCUAUGGGAGCACGAGAUGGACGGACCACGAUGUCGUCCGACUUAUGCUAAGGUCCUUCACUGUCUUUGAUCCUCAUCUUGUAAACUCUAUUCGUGAGAAUCCUAGGUACAUCAAGAUGACGCCCGAGGAAAUACUCGGAAAGUUCGUAAGCGGGCGAAUGAUGAUCAAGGAGGCAAGACAUGUUGAUGAGGCGUUGAAUGGCCCAAUGCCGAUCCACGAGCCUCAAACCGUUGCUCUCAAAGCAACAAGUAGCAGGGAGACGCUACCUAGCAAGGAGGCACAAGUUGAGGCGGCCGGGCUAAAUGAGAAUGAAAUGGUCCUCAUCAUCAAGCGCUUCAAGACGGCACUCAAAGGUCGCAAGGAGCAUCCCAACAAGAGCAAGACGAAGGGAAAGCGCUCCUGCUUCAAGUGUGGUAAGAUUGGUCACUUUAUUGCUAACUGUCCCGACAAUGAUAGUGACCAGGAACAAGCAAGAAUGGGAAGAGAGAGAACAAGAAGGUUUACAAGAAGGCUAAGGGCGAGGCACACCUUGGAAAAGAGUGGAACUCGGAUUGUUCUUCGUUCGACUCUGACGACGAAGGACUCGUCGCCACAGCCUUCAACAAAUCGUCUCUCUUUCCCAACGAGCAUCACACCUGCCUCAUGGCAAAGGAGAAGAAGGUAAGCACUCAAAAUACUAUUACAUAUGCUUCUUCAAGUGAUGAUGAAUCUAGUGAUGAUGAAGUAGACUAUGCAAGUUUAUUCAAAGGUUUAGAUAGAACUAAAAUUGAUAAGAUCAAUGAAUUGAUUGAUGCCUUGAAUGAGAAGGAUAGAUUGUUAGAAAAGCAAGAGGAUCUUUUAUAUGAAGAGCAUGAUAAAUUUGUUAGUACGCAAAAUUCUCUUGCUUUAGAAGUUAAAAGAAAUAAAAUGCUUUCAUGUGAAUUAUCUACAUGCCAUGAAUCUAUUUCUAGCUUAAAGAGUAUUAAUGAUGAUUUAAAUACUAAGUUAGAGAUAGCUAAUAAAUCUAGUUCAUGUAUUGAACAUGUAGUAAUUUGCAAUAGGUGUAAGGAUUUUAAUAUUGAUGCAUGUGUUGAGCACCUUACUUCUAUUGCAAAAUUAAAUGGUGAAGUGGCUAGUCUUAAUGCCCAACUUAAGACUAGCAAGAAUGAUUUUGAUAAACUAAAAUUUGCAAGGGAUGCCUGCACCAUUGGUAGACACCCCUCAAUUAAGGAUGGGCUUGGCUUCAAGAGAGAAGCCAAGAACUUAACAAGCCAAAGAGUUCCCAUGUUCAACAAGGAAAAGGGGAAGGCUCCUAUGGCUAAUAGUAGUCAAAAGAAUCAUGCAUUUAUUUAUGAUAGAAAAUUUUCUAGAAAUGCUUAUCAUAAUAGGAGUUGUGAUGCUUAUGAUUCACAUGCCAUGAUUGCUUCAAGUUCUUCCUUUGUGCAUGGUAGAGAUUUGCCAAGGAAAAAUAUUAUUCAUCAUAUGCCUAGAAGAAAUGUUCUUCAUGUGCCUAGGAAAAUGCAUAAUGAAAGUGAUAUUGUUAUACAUGCCUGAAACACUGAUUUUGUACUCACAUGUAAAAAUAAGAAAGCGGUUGCUAGGAAAUUAGGGGCAAAAUGCAAGGGAGACAAAACUUGCAUUUGGGUUCCUAAGGCUAUUAUUACUAACCUUGUAGGACCCAACAAGAGUUGUGUACCUAAAACCCAAGCCUAAUUUGCCUUGCAGGUUUAUGCAUCCAGGGGCUCAAGCUGGAUUAUCGACAGCGGAUGCACAAACCACAUGACGGGAAGAAGAAGAUGUUCACCUCCUACGUCAAGAAUAAAGAUUCCCAAGAUUCAAUCAUAUUCGGUGACGGGAAUCAAGGCAAGGUUAAAGGACUAGGAAAAAUAGCUAUUUCAUCCGAGCAUUCCAUCUCUAAGGUAUUUUUAGUUGAAUCGCUCGGGUAUAACUUGUUGUCCGUCAGUCAAUUAUGUAAUAUGGGCUACUAUUGCUUAUUUACAAAUGUAGAUGUGUCUGUCUUUAGAAGAAGUGAUGGUUCAUUAGCUUUUAAGGGUGUACUAGACGGCAAACUCUAUUUAGUUGAUUUUGCAAAAGAGGAGGCCGAUCUAGAUGCAUGCUUAAUUGCUAAGACUAGCAUGGGUUGGUUGUGGCAUCGCCGUCUAGCACAUGUUGGGAUGAAGAACCUUCACAAACUUCUAAAGGGAGAACAUGUGUUAGGUCUAACAAAUGUAACUUUCGAAAAAGAUAGACCUUGUGCAGCUUGUCAAGCAGGUAAACAAGUGGGAAAUGCUCAUCACACAAGAACGUAAUGACCACAUCAAGACCCCUGGAGCUGCUGCAUAUGGACCUCUUCGGACCCGUCGCCUACCUCAGCAUUGGGGGAAGUAAGUAUGGUCUUGUUAUAGUUGAUGAUUUUUCCCACUUCACUUGGGUAUUCUUCUUGCAGGAUAAAACAGAAACCCAAGGGACCCUUAAACGCUUUCUAAGGAGAGCUCAAAAUUAAUUUGAGCUCAAGGUGAAGAAGAUAAGGAGCGACAACGGGUCCGAGUUCAAGAACCUUCAAGUGGAGGAGUACCUUGAGGAGGAAGGAAUCAAGCACGAGUUCUCCGCUCCCUACACACCAUAGCAAAAUGGUGUGAUAGAGAGGAAGAACAGGACGCUCAUAGACAUGGCAAGGACGAUGCUUGGAGAGUUCAAGACGCCCGAGCGGUUUUGGUCUGAAGCCGUGAACACGGCUUGCCAGGCCAUAAACCGGGUCUACCUUCAUCGCCUCCUCAAGAAGACUUCGUAUGAGCUUCUAACCGAUAACAAACCCAACGUUUCAUAUUUUCGUGUAUUUGGGAGUAAAUGCUAUAUUCUAGUGAAGAAAGGUAGAAAUUCUAAAUUUGCUCCCAAAGUUGUAGAAGGGUUUUUGUUAGGUUAUGACUCAAAUACAAAGGCAUAUAGAGUCUUCAACAAAUCAUCGGGUUUGGUUGAAGUCUCUAGCGACGUUGUCUUUGAUGAGACUAAUGGUUUUCCAAGAGAGCAAGUUGAUAUUGAUGAUGUAGAUGAAGAAGAUGUUCCAACGGCCGAAAUACGCACCAUGGCGAUUGGAGAUGUGCGACCACAGGAACAAAAGGAGCAAGAUCAACCUUCUUCCUCAACAAUGGUGCAUUCCCCAACUCAAACUGAUGAAUAGGUUCAUCAAGAGGAGGCAUGUGAUCAAGGGGGAGCACAAGAUAAUGAUGUUAUGGAGGAAGAAGCACCUCAAGCCCCUCCAACUCAAGUCCGAGCAACGAUUCAAAGGAAUCAUCUCAUCUAUCAGAUUUUGGGUGAUCUAAGUAACGGAGUAACUACUCGCUCUAGAUUAGUUAAUUUUUGUGAGCAUUACUCUUUUGUCUCUUCUAUUGAGCCUUUCAGGAUAGAAGAGGCCUUGCUAGAUCCGGACUGGGUGUUGGCCAUGCAGGAAGAGCUCAAUAACUUCAAGAGAAAUGAAGUUUGGACACUGGUGCCACGUCCAAAGCAAAACGUUGUGGGAACCAAGUGGGUAUUUGAAAGGGAAAUGUGGCCUUGGGCCAUUUCUAAGUAUUUUGGUGAUUUAGUGUCCAACACAAGUGCCCAAGUGUUAAAUGGUGGACAAAGUACAAAUCAAGUAUAAAGGUAUGUUUCUAAUACUUAGUAUAUUGUUUUGGAGACUAAUGUAUUAUGUCUAAGUGCUGGAAACAGGAAAAAUCAAGUUGGAAUUUAAGAUGGCUUUGUUUAGCCGAAGUCAGCUCAGUCUGGGUGCACCGGACUGUCCGGUGGUGCAUCGGACAGUGUCCGGUGCGCCAGGCUGACUCAGGCGAACUUGCUGCUCUCAGGAAAUCGUCGGCGACGUACAGCUAUAAUUCACCGGACUGUCCGGUGUGCACCGGACUGUCCGGUGAGCCAACGGUCGGUCGGGCCAACGGUCGGCCGCGUAAUCCGUGCGCGAUGCGUGGCCGAGCCAACGGCUAGAAGGGGGCACCGGACUGUCCGGUGCGCCAACGGCUCCAAAGCGCCAACAGUCGGUUUCGCCAUAUAAGGCAAGAGAUCCGCACCGGACAGUGUCCGGUGGUGCACCGGACUGUCCGGUGCGCCAGGCGACAGAAGGCAAGAAUUGCCUUCCUGGAAUGCUCUCAACGGCUCCUAGCUGCCUUGGGGCUAUAAAAGGGACCCCUAGGCGCAUGGAGGAGUACACCAAGCAUUCUCUAAGCAUUCCUAAGCACCAAGACUUCGAUUCCGCGCAUUUGAUUCUUUGUGAUAGCAACUAGAGCUCCAUUUGAGUUGUGAACUCGUCGAGUUGUGUUGUGAGCUCUUGUUGUGACUUGUGUGCGUGUUGGUACUCUGAUUUCGUGUCUUGUGUGCGUUGCUCAUCCCUCCCUUACUCCGUGCUUCUUUGUGAACAUCAAAGUGUAAGGGCGAGAGGCUCCAAGUUGUGGAGAUUCCUCGCAAGUGGGAUAUAGUAAAGUGAAAGCAAAACACCAUGGUAUUCAAGUGGGUCUUUGGACCGCUUGAAAGGGGUUGAUUGCAACCCUCGUCCGUUGGGACGCCACAACGUGGAGUAGGCAAGUGUUGGACUUGGCCGAACCACGGGAUAAACCACUGUGCCAUCUCUGUGUUGAUCUCUCUGUGGUUAUCGUGUUGUGCAAGCUCUCCUCUCUAGCCACUUGGCUUAAUUGUGCUAACUCCUAAUCAAGUUUUGUGGACUAAGUUUCAAGUUUUUACAGGAUCACCUAUUCACCCCCCUCUAGGUGCUCUCAAUUGGUAUCAGAGGCGUUCUCUUCAAGAAAGGGACUAAUCGCCCGAAGAGAUGGAUCCUAAGGGCAAGGGGAUGGUGGUCAAUGAUAAGGAGAAGGAGUCCUUCAUCAAUGAUCCAAAGGAUGACAAGCCUACUGACUCAGGCUCGGGCCACAAAAGAAAAGACGGGAGGAAGAAGAAAACAAGGCGCAUCAAGGAGAUAGUCUACUACGACAGCGAUGAAUCUUCCUCCUCCCAAAAGGAUGACGACAACGACUACGAGAAAAAGAAGACGAUUAAUUCUAACUUCUCUUUUGAUUACUCUCGUAUUCCUCAAAGUACCAAUGCUCAUUUACUCUCCAUUCCACUUGGUAAACCUCCUCAUUUUGAUGGAGAGGACUACAGAUUUUGGAGUCACAAAAUGCGUAGUCACUUGUUCUCUCUCCAUCCAAGCAUAUGGGAGAUAGUCGAGAGUGGAAUGCAAUUUGAUAGUACUGAUAGUCCUAUAUUUAUUAAUGAGCAAAUUCACAAAAAUGCACAAGCUACUACUAUUCUUCUAGCAUCAUUGUGCAGGGAUGAAUACCAUAAGGUGAGCGGCUUGGAUAACGCCAAGCAAAUUUGGGACACGCUCAAGAUCUCACAUGAGGGGAACGACGUUACCAUGCUCACCAAGAUGGAGUUGGUGGAGGGCAAACUCGGAAGAUUCGCGAUGAUCAGGGGGGAGGAGCCAACCCAAACGUACAACAGGCUCAAGACCCUCGUCAAUAAGAUAAGGAGCUAUGGAAGCACGCGAUGGACGGACUACGACGUCGUCCGCCUAAUGCUAAGGUCCUUUACUGUCCUUGAUCCACAUCUUGUAAACAAUAUUCGUGAGAAUCCUAGGUACACCAAGAUGUCGCCCGAAGAAAUUCUUGGGAAAUUUGUAAGCGGGCGGAUGAUGAUCAAGGAGGCGAGAUACGUGGAUGAUGCGUUGAAUGGCCCAAUCCACGAGCCUCAAACCGUUGCUCUCAAAGCAACAAGGAGCAAGGAGGCGCUACCUAGCAAGGUGGCGCAAGUUGAGGCGGCCGGGCUUAAUGAGGAAGAAAUGGCCCUCAUUAUCAAGCGGUUCAAGACGGCGCUAAAGGGUCGCAAGGAGCACCCCAACAAGAACAAGACGAAGGGGAAGCACUCCUGCUUCAAAUGUGGUAAGAUUGGCCAUUUUAUCGCUAAUUGCCCCGAUAAUGAUAGUGACCAGGAAAAGAAGAGUGGAAAGUGGGAAAAGAAGAAGAACUAUAAGAAGGCAAAGGGCGAGGCACAUCUUGGAAAGGAGUGGGAUUCAGAUUGCUCCUCGUCCGACUCCGACAACGAAGGACUCGCCGCCAUCGCCUUCAACAAAUCAUUCCUCUUCCCAAACGAGCAUCACACAUGCCUCAUGGCAAAGGAGAAGAAGGUAUGUACUCGAAACAAUACUACUUAUGCUUCUUCAAGUGAGGAUGAGUCUAGUGAUGAUGAUGAAAUAGACUAUUCAUGUUUAUUCAAGGGCCUAGAUAGAACUAAGGUUGAUAAGAUUAAUGAAUUAAUUGAUGCCUUGAAUGAUAAGAAUAGGUUGUUAGAAAAGCAAGAGGAUCUUUUGUAUGAAGAGCAUGAUAAAUUUGUAGAGGCAACAAAAUUCUCUUGCAUUAGAAAUUAAAAGGAAUGAAAUGCUUUCUUGUGAACUGUCUACAUGCCAUGACUCUAUUUCUAGCUUAAAGAGCAUAAAUGUUGAUUUGAAUGCUAAGUUAGAAAUAGCUAAUAAAUCAACAUCUUGUGUAGAACAUGUUGAAAUUUGCAAUAGGUGUAAAGAUCUUAAUGUUGAUGCUUGUAGUGAACACCUAGUUUCAAUUUCUAAAUUGAAUGAUGAAGUGGCUAGUCUUAAUGCCCAACUCAAGACUAGCAAAAGUGAAUUUGACAAGCUAAAAUUUGCAAGGGAUGCCUACACGAUUGGUAGACACCCCUCAAAUAAGGAUGGUCUUGGCUUCAAAAGGGAAGUCAAGAACUUAACAAGCCAUAAGGCUUCCAUCUCCGCCAAGGAGAAAGGGAAGGCCCCUAUGGCUAGUAGGACUAAAAAGAACCAUGCUUUCAUGUAUCAUGAUAGGAGACAUUCUAGGAAUGUUUAUAGAAGUUAUGAUGCUUUUAACUCUCAUGCCAUGAUUGCUUCCAGUUCUUCUAUUAUGCAUGAUAGAAAUUUGACUAGGAAAAAUGUUGUUCAUCAUAUGCCUAGAAGAAAUAUUGUUCAUGCUCCUAGGAAAGUAAUAAAUGAACCUUCUACAAUUUAUGAUGCUUGCAAUGCUUCCUUUGCUAUUUGUAGAAAGGAUAAGAAGGUAAUUGCUAGGAAAUUAGGGGCCAAAUGUAAGGGAGACAAGACUUGCAUUUGGGUCCCUAAGACUAUUGUAACUAACCUUGUAGGACCCAACAUGAGUUGGGUACCUAAGACCCAAGCCUAAAUUUGCCUUGCAGGUUUAUGCAUCCGGGGGCUCAAGCUGGAUUAUCGACAGUGGAUGCACAAACCACAUGACGGGGGAAAAGAGGAUGUUCUCUUCCUACGUCAAGAACAAGGAUCCCCAAGAUUCAAUCAUAUUCGGUGAUGGGAACCAAGGCAAGGUGAAAGGGUUAGGAAAAAUUGCUAUUUCAUUCGAGCACUCUAUUUGUAAUGUGUUCUUAGUUGAGUCGCUUGGAUAUAACUUGUUGUAUGUGAGUCAACUUUGUAAUAUGGGAUAUAACUGUUUAUUCACAAAUGUAGAUGUGUCUAUCUUUAGAAGAAGUGAUGGUUCAUUAGCUUUUAAGGGUGUACUAGACGACAAACUUUAUUUAGUUGAUUUUGCAAAAGAGGAGGCCGGUCUAGAUGCAUGCUUAAUUGCUAAGACUAGCAUGGGCUGGCUGUGGCAUCGCCGUUUAGCACAUGUGGGGAUGAAGAACCUUCACAAGCUUCUAAAGGGAGAACACGUAAUAGGUCUAUGUGAGAAGGUGCAACCCACAAUGGUAUUCCACAUUUCCACAAGACUUGUAAUGAUUAAAUCUUCAAAAUUCACUUUAGACUGGGAGAGUAAGCUCCAAAAGAAUUACAAUAUCUAAAGGUACUAAUGUUUUAACUCUAAAAACUGUUUGAAUUCAUAAUACAAUCGAAAUUACUUAUAUCAAUUUCUGGUCAAAUAAAGGAAUGCUUAACUGGGGCCUUUCAUGUGAUAAAUAGUAGUGCUUGGUCGUCAAGGCCAAAUAACGAAAAAUAAAAUUAAAAUCUAUACUUGAUACUCUUAAUAGCACGUGUCACCAUAUCAUUUGUUCUAGAUUGCUUUUUAUAACGUUCACCAGAACCAUCCUCUUUGUUCUUGACAGGACGAAUUGGAAGACGUUUUGUUGAAUCUGGUUUGAUAUUGUUUCAGGUAUGAUGACAUGCUCUGCAGCAGCACAUUUAUCACCUUUGUUGUCUAUAUUAUUCGGUCGUGUUAAUUUUAAAUUAAAUCGACAACAUAUGCUUCUUGCAAAAUCACAAAAACAGAUUAACAAUAUGGUCAUGCAUUUUGUAUUCUUACUUUUCCAAAAACAUUUCCAAAACUUAAAUCUAAUAUGUAUCAAGCUAACCCUAAAUGCAUAGAGGACUAAUCGAGCCAACACAAUUAGGGUUGAAGGCUUUGAUUCUAGUUGGAUAACCAUGUUGAUUUCCAAAUCGAGGAUGAAUGGAGCAAGAUCCAUACCUCAGGAUAACUGAACUCUAGAAAUCGUCUCGUAUCUACCAUGGGGAAGCCUUGCCGCUUGGACUGUGUCCUGCUGGUCGUCCCUCUCGCUAUGAUUGGGGAUGUCGGCCUCCUGAGUCCACGGUGAGGUCUACUGCCGAGCUCCGCCACAGCGCUUCCACCGAGCGAUGAACCAAACGAACGGGAGUUCAGCACGCUGCCGCUCAUGGCCAAGCACGAGGGGGUGCUCAGCGAGGGACGACGUCGAGACACCAUGCGGGAGAUGGCUGAUAUGGAGGCGGCGGUGCCAAGUUGAGCAGGUUGGCGGCGUUCUCAUAGAAAGGCGAGGAGGUGGAAGGAGCAGGUCGUAGGUACAUCGGCACCACCUCCUCGGGGAGCGGCAGUGGUCGCAUCUCGGCAGUCGGGGAAGGAAGGGCGUCGUUGGAGGCCAUGGGGCGAGAUCCGGCGUUGAAGGCCGCGCGGCACCUCGGCAGCCGGGGGAAGGAAGGGCACCGUUGGUGGGGGAGCCGCGCGGGAUCUCGGCCGCGCGCAGCAUGUGGGGGAGGAAGGGCGUCGUUGCCGUUGGUGGGGUAGUCGCAUCCUUGCAGCCGGGGAAGGAAGGGCGUCGUUGGUGGCCAUGGGGCGAGAUCCGGCGUUGAAGGCCGCGUGACAUCUCGACAGCCGGGGAAGGAAGGGCGCUGUUGGUGGGGACUCGGCAGCAUUUGGGGAGGAAGGGCGCCGUUGGUGGGGGGUCGUGCGCGGCAUCUCGGCAGCCGGGGAAGGAAGACGCGCACGACAUCUUGGCAGGCGGGGGCACGGUGGUGUGGACGCCCUCACUGCGUCCUUAAGCACGGGCGAGGAGCUUCUACAAAUCGACGGUGGUCGGGGGGGGGGGGGAGGAGCGCUGAUGUCGAACGGGCGCAGGGUCACGGUGUCGCCCCCUGUGGACGCCUCCAGCGCCUGCGCCACCAUGAAUCCGGGCAUCGCCGAGGGGGGUGAGGGCAGGGGAAGGGAGGGGGAGGCCUUGAAUCCUGGACGCGUCCGCAUGGGUGUUCUCGGAUCCUGUCACCGCGGCGCGGGACAUGGGGAGCAGGGGCGGCGGGUGCGAACAGGGGGAGCAGGGGCGGCGGCUCACACGGGGUGGGAGAGGGGGAGGCGGGGGACGAACGUGGGCGUGGAGACGAGGACGAACGUGGGCGUAAGCAGGGGCGGACGGUGUAGAUUUACAGAAGCGAUUGGACGGUGUAGAUUCACCGAAGGCAGAACCAGGGGAGGCAGCCUACCCCUUGCAGCCUUAAUAGGUAGUAUAGAUUAGUUAAUAGUUAACUAGUUAUUUAUUAGCUAGCUGAUUUUUACUAGUAAUUUUUUAGUCAACUAACUAUUAACUCGAGUGCAUUCAAACACCCCCUUAAUGUCAAUUGAUUUGGCUGAACAUCCUCCUCAUCAUGUUGUACCGUAUUAUUAAUUUGAACUCCUAUAAUUAGAUAAAAAAUAAUAAUAUAAGCAACUUCAAUGGAAAAUUUGAUGUAACACCCGGUUCACCCCAAACCGGUGGUACUUACUCCUGCCAACCCUCUAAGAUCAUAGACCAUUCACACAAACCAACAUGAGUUUUUUGUGCGCAUUUUGUCCUCACUCAUGCACAACCGAGACGACUUCCCGGUCGGUCACUCAUCCCAAGAUUGCUCUAGGUCAAGCACGCUUAACUCGGAGGUUUUUUCAAGACAUGCUUUAAAAAAUGCACCUUAUUGUUAUGAGUACUCUAUUAAUUCUAUUAAGCCUUGUACAUGAUAUCACUAUCCAAUAGGGCCAGGAUAUCACAAUCCAACCCUCUUAUAGGACCGACGUCCUCGUCGGUCAACCCCAAGCCAGGAAACUCCCCUCUUGGCAACAUCUGUGUGUCUAAUGUCGCCAUAUACCAUGCCAUGUGAUCACUCCGGGCCCACAUGCGCUAUGUGCCAUAUGCCCGAACCACUAGUCCACACACGAUCGUAAAAUUGUGAGGGUCGGUUCCGAUACCAUUUGUAACAACCUGUCCACUCUCGGACCAACGAUACUUACUCCUGGCAGCCCUAUAGAAUCAUAGACCAUCCACAUAGACCCAACACGAGUCUUUUGUGUGUACUUUAUCCUCACCCAUACACCCCGAGAAGACAAUCCGAUCGGUCACCCAUCCUAAGAUUGCUCCAGGCCAAGCACACUUAAUUUGGAGGUUCUUUCGAGACAGGCUUCCGAAAAAGAAGAUGCACCUUGUUGGUAUGAUUACUCUAUUAAUUCUAUUAAUCGUUGGGCUAGGAUAUCACCAUCCACUAGGGCCAGGAUAUCACAUUUGACAUGAUAUAAUGGACAGUAUCAGUACCUUUGGUUUGAGAGUAUUUCUUUUUCUUCCAUGUAUUCUUUUUAACUACACCCUUUGCUCGUUUAAUCUUUGCGCCUUUCACAAUAUGAAGAACUCUAAAUGAUAUCGAACCAUUUACUUUGUAUGUACCACUAUUUUUUCAACCACAUGAAUCUUAUUUUCUUGCAUCUUGCUUAGAGAAUCAUCUGUGUCCAUCUCCAACUUAUCAAAUGCUUUCUCUAAAUCAUCCAGAAGUGAUUUUGACACCGAACACUUCAAUGUAAGGGAUGUUGCUCUUCGAGACGGACGUGCUGCAUAUGCUCUUAAGUUCUCAUUCUUAGUUCCCUUUUUUCAAUAUAGUAUUCUCUUUUUGCAUAUCUUGUCCAUCUCUUCAUUAUAUAUUGUGAUAGAAAAAUGAAAACCUCAUUCCUAUCAAAUACAUUGAAGGUGUGCUUGCACAAUAACCCUGUAAGAUGAAAAACCCAGUUUUCAACAUUUAAUAGUAGAUACCUAUAAUAUAGUUUGCAUGCAUGUAUUGAAUUUAAACUUUAUAUACAUACUUAUGGAUUCAUACAUUCUGCAAGAACAUGUAAUGGUCAUAUGUGCAUUGUCGAAUACAAACUGUGGCUCCAUAAUUAGAAUACAUAUGUGUAACCAUGAAUGUUGAUAUCGACCUCUCAGCCUUUAACAAUUUACAUGAAUAAAAAAUUGCUUUUUAAAUUCUUCUUCAAACUCUUUAUACAUCCUCCGUGUAUAUGAUUCAUCUGCAAUCUUCAACAAAGGUAGAUUUUGGGCAUAAAUAGUCGGACUCUUUAUACAUGAUUUUAAAUCUUCAUUCAAUUCAUUUUCAUGUAGGUUAGUUGCAACCUUAUCACAUUCGGCAAGUAGUUCAGAAAUACCAAGCUUCCUAUGAGACCUAUUCUUGAAGGCAUUAUUCAUACCUUCGCUCCUCUGAGUCGAUGCUAUAUCAGCUGUAAAAGACUCACGAUAGACAGCAACCCACUUUCCCUCAAUUUAUGUAGAUUUUGCAUCCACAUGUUGUCCUCGAGGCCGUAUUUAGCCAACAAUUUAUUCCAUUUCUUUUUAAAAUAUUUCUCUAAUCUAUCUUGAUAGACACACCUCUUAAAUUCAGGAAGAAACUCCUCAGGAAACUUAUGAAUCACAUGUCCAAGAUGUUUAGCAACAUUAAGAUAAAUGUGCUAAAUACAAAGUCGAUGAUUAGUAUUUGGGAAUACAUAAGCAACUGCUCCUGGCAUGGCAGCAUCUUGAUCAGUAAAGCAUGGCAGCAUCUUGAUCAGUAAAAAUUGUGCUUGGAUGAUUGCCCGACAUUGUUGUCCGAAAGGUUUCAGAUAGCCAAACACAUGAUUCGAUAGUUUCAUUAAAUAGCAGUGCUGCCCCAAAAAUAUUGUUUGUUUAUGAUGGUUGGUUCCAAGGAGCAGUGCAAAAGGCAUUUCAAACAUAUCAGACUUAAAUGUCGUUUCAAAUUACACCACAUCACCGAAGCAUGUAUAUAAUCCAGAAUAAAUUGACCAUUUGCCCAGAAGAAAUUAGCUAUACGAUCAUCUUUCUGAUCUAACUCGACUGCAUAAAAAAUAUAGAAUCCUCUUUCUUGCAUAAAUCGACUGCAUUAGCUAUACGACCAUCUUUUUUAUGGAACUAUGAAAACUGGUGGAGGUAGCCACCCCCACCAAAAAAAAAGAUCUCACGGGCAGGGUCAUCUCUCGUCAUCUGCAAGUUGAGACAAAAUGGCUUUUUGUCUAACCAAAAGUUUAGCCAUGUCAUGUCACGCAAAGUAAAGUAGCCAUGUGACCGUGUAGGGAAUCAGUUCGGUGGAGCAAUCGAGUGCAUCAGAGUAAGUGGCCGGUGUUAAUUAUUGGUCAGUACUCCAGAAUAUUUGUAGGCAAACAUGAAUCAGCCUCGCUCGAAGGUUUUUUUUUUUACUUUAGGGCUAAUUUGUCAACCUCAUUUUCUCAAUUUUUCUUCGAGAAAUGAGAAUUUUUUUAAAAAAAUAAAGUUGUCAAACUAGUCUUUUAAGAUCAGGUUCACAUCCUUGGACACGUAUCAGGUUAGACCUAGACUAAGAUGAGUGGCUCCACAGCAGAGGCGGAUACAUAGGGGGACAAAGUGGGCCAUGCCCCCUCAAUUUUGUACACUCCUUUAUGCCUUGAUUAUUUAGUGUUAUGUGUAGAAAAAAAAUAAAGUUUCAGAAAGUAUAAAAUCUUAUUCUAAACCUCUAAAAUUAAUAGCUAGUGACUAAAAUUAGCUAAGUGGUUUAGAAUGGAUCAACUAAUUAUUAUCUAUACCCAUCAAAUAAGUAUUAGUUAUUAGAUGCCCCAACCCAGCUAAAAUCAACUAAGAGUUAGGUCUAAAGGUUUGGAACAUGUCCUAAAGCAACCAUGUCACGAGCCUUCUUGUCGGAUCCUCUAGGACCAGUCCUUGCAUCUACGAGUCUGAGCCUAAUUUUCCUGACACCACCUAAACCAGUUUGUUCGAUGCCCCGUUUUCGCCGCUGGCUCAUUCCCAAUGCGAUGCCGUCCGACUCCGCCCCUUCCUGGCACCUCUGUCCCUCGCUCCGUUUUCAUUAUGACGUCGAUCCGUCCGAUAAGCUAGAUCUCGUCUAUCCCUCUCAUGUGGGUUUUUUGCUCCCGCAUAAAUUCUUGUCAUGCGUCCGCCGUUGCUUCACAGAGUCUACGCAUAGUUCGGUUCCUGCGACGUGUUCACCACCGUUUAAUUUACGCUUACCUAUAUCGAUAUCAACUGUUACGUUACGAAAACAAGGCUCGCCGUCGCUGCCGGAGCUACGAUCAGUCUCCACCACCGGUCCGUCAACAGCCAGCUCGACGGAAUUGCAAUGCAAGCGCUGGUGGUCACUAGUCCUAGCAGCUGUAGACUAGCAAGUAGUGGCCCAGCAUACCUCGUUUCGGCGGCCUUCCGGCCUUCCCUCCCCCACUCCUCCUCCGAGGUGGGAGCCUGGACCCACCAAAAAAACCGUGAUGCGGCCCACCAGCCCACCGCACCACCAGCACCAUGCACGCUUCGUAGCCGUACUAGUUUCGGCCCCACGCAUCGACCGGAGAACACGGGUCGGCGACGACGUUUGUUGACGGAUCAGCAGAUCCGCUCCCUUCCCUCCCAUCAGCAGUAGAGGCGCAAGAAGAUGUAAAGAACCCGUCUCCCUUCCCAUAAGCACGACAGAGGAAACACACGAGACACUGGAUAUAGGGUUGGGCCUCUGGCCUCUUUCUGAUCUCUGUAUUAUGAGGGGUGUACAUGUUCCUUAUAUAGAGAUGUGAGACUCCUAAGGGCAAAGCAGGUAUUUGCCCACAUAACCCUAACUAGGGUUACUUAACACUCCCCCUUGGGCGAAUACCGUGACCAACACAUGCCUCGUUAAAACUCCGAAAACCCAGUGGGAAAAAUAUGGAGAAAGAGUGCAUGGCGAUACAAAUUGCAUUUGCACUUUGUUGCCUCGUUAAAAACCUCAUGUGAGAAACUUCAAGAAAACUCACCAAGGUAAAAGAGUACAACAACUGUCAUCGGGACAGAUUUCGAUCCUUUGGGAUCUAGAUUCUAUAGAAUCUUCUACAAGGGCUAACUUUAGAAAUGUGCUCCUCCUGAUCCUUGAAAAACUGUAUCAAUAAGGCAAAACAUCUUCUUCUGGAAGUAUAUGCACAUAAAGAUUUAGCAAACGGAUUGCAUAUCUUUCCAAGGACUAUUUCAGGAACUUUACCUCUACUCACUUCUAGGAUAUACGAGGUAAGUGCACGUAUCAAUAUAAAUAAGCCACUUUGACUGAUGGUGUUCGAUCGACUGGAUAUAUAUAUUUGAUAGAAAGUUCCAUAAAGGUUCACAUAUUGAUCAUCAAGCUCACGCCUUCAGGGCAUAGAAUAUGACAUUUAUUGUCUCACGAUUGUGAUCAAUAUAAGCAUUCGCUCCCCCUGAUGAUGACAUAUGUCAAAGUCGUUAUCCCUCAUAACUCAAGCAUAUUCUUCAAGAUAUAUGUCUCAUUGUUCAUCUGGAAUAACGAGAAUGGACGAGGUUGGGGUGCUAUCAUUUUCUAUCUUACACCACAAUUUAUACAUAGUUGUGCAAAACAAGUAACAUGUCCUUAUAUAGGACUUAGGGGAUAAUAUAGUUGCAAUAGUAUAUAUUCUAAAUAUGACACAUCGCUCGAGGCGUUCAUCCAUUGCAACAUCUAUGAUGGUGUAACAAAAGUCCAUCUAAGAUCGUAAUCCAUCAGGGAUUUUUCAUCGAUCAGAUACAUCGUUAUAGUCUGUCAUUCUGGCACAAUGGGGAUAUUUUGCCAGUAACACCUAAACCUUAUAGGUUUCUGCCAUUAGGGCUUUAGAGGAUACCGUAAUUCCACAUCUAGUGGAAAUUACCAUGAGUAAAACUCAUGGAAUGUACAUGUGCUUAUUCGGUGAACUUCAAGUUCUUUGGUACCUCAUCUUAUUCCUUUUCGGGUCUGUAUGGGUCUUUAUCCCUUUAUAGGGAUUAUCAAACUUUGGUGUUCAAUACAGACUUUGUUUCUUCUGGAUAGGUUCCAUCUGGGAACGAUAGUCUCAACUACGAGAUAUUCUCCCUACAUAGGAGAGUGAUCAUUCAUCAGGAAUGUAUUAUUCGGUAUGAGAUUUAUAUGUUGCAAAUUUAUAAUUCAAAUAUAUGAGUCCUCUUAGGAUCUCAUGACGGAUCUUCAGAAUCCUAUUAACUGCAUAUUUUAAUUCAUGCCAUUUGCCAGAUAUAUUACAUAGCAGAACAGUGUUUAUUCAACACAUACGUGGGAUGGAUCUCUCACAAGACCACUUGAACCAUCGCAUUCACCAUACAUUAUUUCAAUAGUGCCCAUAAAUGUCCGAACUUCAAGCUCGCGACUUUCAUUUUGCGAUUAUUGGUUCAGCCUCGAUUGCAUUUAUCAAUGACCCGAUAAGAGAGCUUAAAGCACUCAUGCCUAGGACUUUGUUUUGAUCCAUUUGCAAUCUAGAGGGGCAAGAUAGGUGUCGACAUAUUUGUUUCCCACAUUUAAUAAUGAUCUCCGUUAUUUCCCAAAACGAAAGAUUCAUUGUUCUGUAUUCCCAGCAUAAUGAUAUUGCGCGCAUUGCUAGGAAUUUCAUCAUCAAGAUGAACCUCUUCGUGAGGCAAAUCACCAUCAGGGUGAAUGAAUCGGAGGAGAGUUAUCACAGACCACGUGAAUCUGCAAUCAGAAACAUAUGCUUUGACUAAGGCUGAUGGAUCAUAUUCGCAGGCGUCCCCGAGAAUAGAUCAAAUGCCAAUAAGUCAAAUGUGGAUAUGAAAUUAAUCCUGGGUAUAUCCACAUCUACAUCAGGUAGAAGCAUUCAUACCAAUAUGGUUACUCCUCAACGAUUUCUGGCGAACUCCAUAUACACAGGAGUACACACCGAACGACAUAUUUAGUUUGACUUUUGUGUGUUUAAUAGAAUAUUGAGGCAUUACAUUAUAUGGGCAUUCCUCCCCCUAAUGUCGAGAUGUUCUAAAAGCAUACAUAUAAAAUCCCCAACCACAAUCAUCCAGUUGUGGCCAAUGUAUGCUAUUUGUCGGCGUUUCGAGACCGGGGGGUCCCCGAGCCGACGAGUGAGUGUGCCGCGUGCCCCAGCCCAGAUGGGUCGAGCGCGUGGGCGAGCGCGAAGGGGGGAGAAGCGAGGUGGCCGGAGACGGGCGUGAGAGAGGUGGAGAUCCCGCGGCCUUCGUGUUCGUCCCGCGCCCAGGUCGGGUGCGCUUGCAGUAGGGGGGUUACAAGCGUCCACGCGGGUGAGGGAAGCGAGCGGCCCUAAGAGAGCGCCUGUCCCGUCCUCGUCCCGCGCGGCCAACCUUCUCUAAGAAGGCCCUGGUCCUUCCUUUUAUAGGCGUAAGGAGAGGAUCCAGGUGUACAAUGGGGGUGUAGCAGAGUGCUAUGUGUCUAGCGGAGGGAGAGCUAGCGCCCUAAGUACAUGCCAAUGUGGCAGCCGGAGAGAUCUUGGCACCCUGCUGGCGUGAUGUCGUGGCUGUCGGAGGAGCAACGGAGCCUGGCGGAGGGACAGCUGUCGGAGCGGUCGAGUCCUUGCUGACGUCCACCUGCUUCCGUAAGAGAGCUGAGAGCCGCCGUCGUCACAGAGCUUGUGGGGCGCCAUCAUUGCCCAUCUGGCGGAGCUAGCCAGAUGGGACACCGGUCUUGUUCUCCAUGACCCGAGUCGGCUCGGGGUAGGAUGAUGAUGGCGCUUCCUGUUGACGUGGCGGGCCUGUGCCCUAGGUCGGGCGACGUGGGGGCUCCUCCGAAGCCGGGGUCGAGUCUGUCUUCCGUGGCCGAGGCCGAGCCCGAGCCCCCGGGUCGGGCGAGGCGGAGAUCGUUCGGCAGAGGCCCGGGCGGAGUCCGAGCCCUGGGGUCGGGCGAAGCGGAGUUCGUCGUCUUCCGGGUCUUAGCCCGAGUCCGAGCCCUGGGGUCGGGCGGAGCGGAGUUCGCCGUCUUCCGGGUCUUAGCCCGAGUCCGAGCCCUGGGGUCGGGCGGAGCGGAGUUCGUCGUCUUCCGGGUCUGAGCCCGAGUCCGAGCCCUGGGGUCGGGCGAAGCGGAGUUCGUCGUCUUCCGGGUCUUAGCCCGAGUCCGAGCCCUGGGGUCGGGCGGAGCGGAGUUCGUCGUCUUCCGGGUCUGAGCCCGAGUCCGAGCCCUGGGUCGGGCGGAGCGGAGCUUCCUAUGGCGCCUUUGGCAAGGCCUGACUGCCUGUCAGACUCACUCUGUUGAGUGGCACUGCAGUCGGAGUGGCGCAGGCGGCGCUGUCCUUCUGUCAGACCGGUCAGUGGUGCGGCGGAGUGACGGCGGUCACUUCGGCUCUGCCGGGGGGCGCGCGUCAGGAUAAAGGUGUCAGGCCACCUUUGCGUUAAAUGCUCCUGCAACUCGGUCAGUCGGUGCGGCGAUUUGGUCAGGGUUGCUUCUCAGCGAAGCCAAGGCCUCGGGCGAGCCGGAGAUGCGUCCGCAGUUAAAAGGGGGGCCUCGGGCGAGACGGAAGUCCCUCGAGGUCGGCUGCCCUUGGCCGAGGCUAGGCUCGGGCGAAGCGUGAUCGAGUCAUUCGUAUGGACUGAUCCCUGACUUAAUCGCACCCAUCAGGCCUCUGCAGCUUUAUGCUGAUGGGGGUUACCAGCUGAGAAUUAGGCGUCUUGAGGGUACCCCUAAUUAUGGUCCCCGACAGUAGCCCCCGAGCCUCGAAGGGAGUGUUAGCACUCGCUUGGAGGCUUUCGUCGCACUUUUUUGCAAGGGGACCAGCCUUUCUCGGUUGCAUUUUGUUCCGGUGGGUGCGCGCGAGCGCACCCGCCGGGUGUAGCCCCUGAGGCCUCGGAGGAGUGGUUUCACUCCUUCGAGGUCUUAAUGCCUUGCGUAAUGCUUCGGCUGGUCUGGUUGUUCCCUCAUGCGAACUGGCCGUAGCCCGGGUGCACGGUCGGGGCCCAAGCUCUCGGGCUGGUAUGUUGACGCUGUCAACGGUCUGGCCGGAGCCGGGUUUGCGAGAGCAGCCCCCGAGCCUCCGCACAGGGCGAGAGGACGAUCAGGGACAGACUCGGCUUUUUUACAUACGCCCCUGCGUCGCCUUUCCGCAAGGAGGAGGGGGGGAGAGCGCCAUGUUACCCUCGAUGGGCACCGAACAUGGUGUCUCCGGUGAGCUGCAAGCGGGUGAUCCGAGUGGACGUCCGUGCCCCGUUCGUUGGGGGUCGGCUAGGGGCCCAGAGGCACGCCCAAAAGUACCUGCGGGUGAUCUGCCGGACCCGGUCCCCUGGCGACGGGGUCCGAGGGCUCGAUGCCUCCCUCCGAUGGGAUUCCGUUACAAGAUUGUUCCCGCUGGUCUCGGAAAUGUCCUAGGGUACCUCGGGAGCGCAGCCCGAGCCUCGGUUAUGUAUCGAACGUACCCCUAGUCAUCCCUCGCUCGGUGUCUGAGGCGACUGUGAACCCUUCGGGGGCCAGCCUUUGAACCCCUGAUCAGUAAUGGGCGCGGAGCCCGAGUAGCCUGAGGCGGCCAUGGAGCCCUUCGGGGGGCCGGCCUUCGAACCCCUGACCAGUAGUGGGUGUCGGGCCCACGCGAUCUGAGGCGACCGUUGAACCCUUCGGAGGGCCAGCCUUCGAACCUCUGAUCAGUAGGGGGGCUCGGAGCCCGGUUCCUUCGCAGAGAAGGAUCCUUUUCGGGGUAUCCCCCUUUCCCGGUCCCUGUUGCAAGAGAUAGAGAAAGAGGAAAAAAGGAAAAGGAUACGAAAUCGAACGACGUGGCGUACCUUUUUUGGCGCGGUAAUUACGGCGAAGGCGAAGCGUCGCCCGCCGCUCCUGCCAGAGGCGCCACCUGUCCCGCCGCGGAGUUAAUGCGACGGGGCGAGUGGUUGGCGGGGCGGCCGUUGCGCGUGCGCGAGCCGUUCGAGGGACGGCUGUUUCGCUUCGCGUUUUUUGAAUCCCGCGUCCGGUCCGAGCGGAGCGCUGGAAACGGUUCCGCCCUGGCCUUUAUAUCCUCGAGAGGGGGUCCGGUGACGGCUCUUCGCUCUGCUCCCCGCUUCUUCCUUUAGGUCUUUGCAACCCAAGGAACUUUAGUCGGAGAAGAGAAAAAUCACCCUUCCUGCCCUUUGCGCCGCCAUCCCUUCCAUCUUGGUGAUGGCUGAUCGGGUGACCAUAAUUCCCCCACGCGAUCCGUGGCCCUUUUCCACGGUGACGGCGAGCGACCUGGAGGAGCUGGUCGGCGAGGGUUUGCUUCGCCCCCUCACCGAUAAGCAGCGACCAGAAUGGAUUCCUCCCGUGGGCGGAGCCGCUCCGUCCCCACCGCCGGGGUACGUCGUGAGCUUCGUCUCCUUCCACGAGCGGGGAUUCGGUGUGCCGACGGGCCGCUUUAUGCGGGCAAUCCUGUUCCACUAUGGGGUGGAGUUGCAUAACCUCACCCCCAACUCCAUCUCGCAGGCCACUAUCUUCGUAGCGGUGUGCGAAGGGUACUUGGGGAUCGCUCCCCAUUGGGAUUUGUGGACUCAUCUCUUCCUCGCCGAGCCUUUCGCCUUGUCGAUGGGGGAGAGGAGGAUCCGUGCAGCGGUGCGGGCCGGAGGCUGCACUCUUUUGCUGAGGCAGUCGCGGGCGUCGCAGUACAUUCCUGCCAUCCUCGCGUCCUCGAACAAGGGGUGGCAGCGCCGGUGGUUCUACCUCCGGAAUGACGGUGAGUUGCUCCCACCAUUCUCCCAGUGGGUAGUCACCGCCGCCACCGACGCCUGGCGCCAUGGGACCCCGCACGAGAGACAGAAGAAUCUCGAACCCCUUCUCCAGGCCCUGAAGGAGUUGCGGGAGGGGGGACUCAUCGCUGCGGGAGUGGUCGCCGCCAUCCACCGUCGGAGGGUGCUUCCUUUGGCGGAGCGGCGGCUGCCGCUCUGGGAGAUGACUCCGGAGGCUGACUGGGAGGGCUCGCGGAUGUCCCCUGAUCCUCUUCCCUUCGACGCCCUCCAAUGGCGAGUGUCGGCUGCGAUGGGGAAGCCGGACCCUCAUGCCUACUCCCAGCUUCGGAACCUGGUUGGCCGGAGCCUAGCCGGGUUGCCCGUCAGCGGGGCUGACGCCGGAGUUGAUCAGCCGAGGCCUCGGGUCGGGCUGGCGCCCUUGGAAGAUGGUUGGCCGAGGCCCCAGGGGUAACCGGCUGAGCCGCCUGCUCAGGCCGGAUUCCCGGAGAAGUCCCCGGACCGCGUCGCCGUCCGAGGCUGGGUCGGAUCUCGCUGAAGGCGUCGUCGAUGCCGAGGGUGCUAUAGCCCCCUUCCAGCGUGAAGAUCCGAGCCUGCAGGAUCAGAUUAUCUUGUAGCGUGUGCCUUCUGCGGCCGCCGAGGCCAGAAAACACACCCUCGCUGCGUUGUAAAGCCGCGUCUCUUUUCCUCUUAUUCCGAGCAUCUGGACUUUCCGUCGGUAACAGGGAUGUUUGUGUGGGCGAGAGUUGCUUCUCGCGGAAGGUGAUGAGUGAGGUAUCCGUAUCCCAGAGGCGUGGGAGUCCCUCGGCUCGGUCGGCCUUGCCGCUUACGCGUACUUUCGCCCGUCCACGAGGCCCUGCCACCGAUUCAGUCGAGAAGGCUUGAAGGACCGCCUCGGCAGAAGAGCUUCCGAACGUGAAGACUUGUUCGGUCCGCGGAAUCACUUUAUCCGAACGCGAGUUACUUAUCGCAGAAGGUGAUGAGUGAGGUAUCCGUAUCCCGGAGGCGUAGGAGUCCCUCGGCUCGGUCAGCCUUGGCUGCUUAUGUGUACUCCGUCGUUUCCAGGAUCCGCUUUUCGAAGUAGUCAAAAAGCACGAAAGAAAUUCUGCUAAAAAGAGAUCCUUUUUCGAGGAAAAUUUCGACGCGGAGGGGGUCUCCCCACUUUUAGCCCCCGAGGGAGGGUCGGGCUUUGCCGAGGCGAGGCCGACCCUUCCUUGAUGACUAAACUUUGUGUGGGUGCGAGGUAUAUGAACAACUUGAAAACAUCUUAAGGGUAGAAGCGACGUAGCUGUUUGAUGUUCCAAGCGUUGCCGUAGAUCUCGCCUUGAUUGUUGGCCAGCUUGUAUGUUCCGGGCUUCAGGACUUUGGCGAUGACGAAUGGCCCCUCCCAGGGGGGCGUGAGCUUGUGCCUCCCUCGGGCGUCUUGCCGCAGCCGAAGCACCAGAUCGCCCACCUGGAGGUCUCGGGACCGGACCCCUCGGGCGUGGUAGCGUCGCAGGGACUGCUGGUACCGCGCCGAGUGUAGUAAGGCCUUGUCUCGAGCCUCUUCCAGCUGGUCCAGCGAUUCUUCUCGGCUAGCUUGGUUGCUUUGAUCGUUGUAGGCCCUCGUCCUCGGGGAGCCGUAUUCCAGGUCAGUGGGUAAGAUGGCCUCGGCCCCGUAGACCAGGAAGAACGGCGUGAAACCCGUGGCUCGGCUCGGCGUCGUCCUCAGGCUCCAGACCACCGAGGGGAGUUCCUUCAUCCAUCGCUUGCCGAACUUGUUGAGGCCGUUGUAAAUCCGAGGCUUGAGCCCUUGUAGAAUCAUGCUGUUGGCACGCUCUACUUGCCCAUUCGACAUGGGAUGAGCCACGACAGCCCAGCCCACCCGGAUGUGGAGAUCCUCGCAAAAAUCCAAGAAUUUUCUGCCGGUGAACUGGGUACCGUUGUCGGUGAUGAUGGAGUUUGGGACCCCGAAGCGAUGGAUGAUGUUGGUGAAGAACGCCACCGCCUGCUCGGACCUGAUGCUGUUCAGGGGUCGGACCUCGAUCCACUUGGAGAAUUUGUCGAUGGCGACCAGCAGGUGCGUGUAGCCCCCGGGCUCCUUCUGCAAGGGACCGACGAGGUCUAGACCCCAUACAGCGAAGGGUCAGGUGAUGGGUAUCGUCUGCAGAGCCUGAGCGGGCAGGUGGGUCUGCUUCGCAUAGAAUUGGCACCCUUCGCGGGUGCGGACAAUUCUAGUGGCGUCAGCCACCGCCGUUGGCCAGUAGAAGCCUUGCUGGAAGGCAUUCCCGACAAGGGCUCGAGGCGCUGCAUGAUGGCCGUAAGCCCCCGAGUGUAUUUCUUGCAGGAAUUCCUGACCUUCGGCGAUGGAGAUGCAUCGCUGGAGGAUGCCCGAGGGGCUCCGGUGGUAGAGCUCCUCCUCAUCGCCCAGCAAGACGAACGACUUGGCGCGUCGAGCUACCCGCCGAGCCUCGGCUUGGUCGAGGGGUAGCUCUCCCUGGCGGAGAUAUCGCAGGUACGGGGCCUGCCAAUUUCGAUCAGGCGUGGCCCUGCUCUGCUCCUCCUCGACGUGCAGCGCCUCGGCCCCCGGGGCCGAGGGUACCUUGGGCCGAACCGAGGGCGCCUCGGGCUGAGCCGAGGGUGCCUCGGGCUCGGGCGAGUCGUCGACCUUGACGGAGGGUUGGUGCAGAUCCCGGGAGAAGACGUCCGGGGGGACCGUCGUUCGCCCCGAGGCUAUUUUAGCCAGCUCGUCUGCAGUCUCGUUGUAGCGCCGAGCGAUGUGGUUGAGCUCGAGCCCGAAGAACUUGUCUUCCAGGCGCCGAACCUCAUCGCAGUAGGCCUCCAUCUUCGGGUCGCGGCAGUGGGAGUUCUUCAUGACUUGGUCGAUGACGAGCUGCGAGUCACCGCGGGCGUCGAGGCGUCUGACCCCUGGCUCGAUGGCGAUCCGCAACCCGUUGACCAGAGCUUCGUACUCGGCCACAUUGUUGGACGCCGGGAAAUGGAGGCGUAGCACGUAGCGUAGGUGCUUCCCGAGGGGUGAGAUGAAGAGCAGGCCCGCGCCGGCUCCCGUCUUCAUCAGCGACCCGUCCAAAAACAUGGUCCAGAGCUCCGGUUGGAUCGGAGCCGUCGGCAGCUGGGUGUCGACCCAUUCAGCUACGAAGUCCACCAACACCUGGGACUUGAUGGCUUUCCGAGGGGCGAACGAGAUCGUUUUGCCCAUGAUUUCCACUGCCCACUUUGCGAUCCUGCCCGAGGCCUCUCGGCACUGGAUGAUCUCCCCCACGGGGAAGGAUGACACCACAGUUACCGGACGAGACUCGAAGUAGUGUCGUAACUUCCGCCUUGUCAGGAUCACAACAUACAGCAGCUUCUGAACUUGCGGGUAGCGGAUCUUGGUCUCGGACAAUACUUCGCUGACGAAGUAGACUGGCCUCUGAACGGGCAAUGCAUGCCCUUCUUCUUGCCUCUCGACUACAAUCGCGGCGCUAACCACCUGAGUGGUAGCGGCGACGUAGACCAAGAGGGCUUCUCCAUCAGCUGGGGGCACCAAGACAGGCGCCUUUGUAAGGAGCGCCUUCAGGUUCCCGAGGGCUUCCUCGGCCUCAGGGGUCUAAGCGAAACUCUCGGCCUUCCUUAAGAGGCGGUACAGAGGCAGACCUCUUUCACCGAGGCGUGAGAUGAAGCGGCUCAAGGCCGCGAGGCAUCCCAUGACCCUUUGUACGCCUUUUAAGUCCUUGAUGGGUCCCAUGUUGGUGAUAGCUGCGAUCUUCUCCGGGUUGGCUUCGAUGCCUCGCUCGGAGACGAUGAACCCCAGGAGCAUGCCCCGGGGCACCCCGAAGACACACUUCUCAGGAUUGAACUUGACUCCUUUCGCCUUGAGACAUCGGAAUGUCACUCCAAGGUCGGAGAGGAGGUCGGAAGCCUUCCUUGUCUUGACUACGAUGUCAUCGACGUAGGCCUCGACUGUGCGACCGAUGUGUUCGCCGAACACAUGGUUCAUGCACCGCUGGUACGUCGCGCCCGCAUUCCUCAGACCGAACGGCAUGGUGACAUAGCAGUACAUGCCGAACGGCGUGAUGAAAGAAGUCGCGAGUUGGUCGGACUCUUUCAUCCGGAUCUGGUGAUACCCUGAGUAGGCAUCGAGGAAGGACAGGGUUUCGCACCCAGCAGUGGAAUCCACGAUUUGAUCGAUGCGAGGCAGAGGGUAGGGAACCUUCGGACAUGCUUUGUUGAGACCAGUGUAGUCUACACACAUCCGCCAUUUCCCCCCUUUUUUCCUCACAAGCACAGGGUUGGCAAGCCAUUCGGGAUGGAAUACCUCUUUGAUGAACC